rnacentral:lncRNA from 1 species
UUCACAUUGUGGUUUGGGAGAAACCACAAAACAGCAUAUCAUUAAAUAUUCAGCAUAUGUCCUCACUUCUCUUUGUCAGGAACUGAGUACUCUAUUGGAGUGUACUCAAAGUGCAAAGUCAGUGUGUUUUCCCUAAUAACACACCUGUGUUCUAAAUAGAGUUGGCUUCUAUUUAAGGAGAAGCAAACUGAAGUCACAUCUUGCUAUAAAUUCUUUGUUUUGUUACAGUGCAUUGCAAUUGCAAGCAAACCAUACCAAGUCCAAGAAGUUUUGAAUUGAUGCAUUAACUCUUUUUGAUCAAAUCAAUAAUUCAUAUUGUUCACAAUUUUAACUGAUAAAAAUUAAGUCUGCAAAUAUUCUCACAUUUCUUUUUGAGGCCAACGCUUUGCAUUCUGUGAACUAAGAACUCUUUAUGGAGUCAGAGAACUGGAUUCUAGUUUCCGGUUUGCUGCUAACUAGCUAUGACAUACUGGUCAAGUCACUAUAAGUUCACAAUCACUCAGUUUCCUAACCUGUAAAGUGAGGUGUUUUAUGAGACACUGCCAAGCAUCUUUCCAACUUUCAAAUUCUUGUUCAGUUCAUGAAACUGUAGUCGAACACAAUUUUGUUUCUGUGACUACACAAACAAUAUUCAAAUAUUGAUAAGUUAGAGGUAUUUGCAGGUCUUAUGGAAUGUAAAUCAACGAGUAUAUCAUGAUUUAGGUCUAGAUCAAAAAUAUUUCAAGGCUUCUAUCAGUGUCAUGGGAAAAUAAAUUUUGGCUAGAUUCAAAGACUACAAUAAUGCUACUUCACUCAGUCAUGAUUUGAUUUGUUGAAUAGUUGAACUCCAUCUGGUCCUGUGGAGGUUUUCUAGUUUAAGAGUCUCUAAAGGGCAAAUUUCUUGUCAUUAAAAUCAGCAGAACUAUAUAUUAAAAAAAGUGAAAGGGAUUAAAGGGGAAAGGAGAGAAAAUGAGUGGGAAAAAUCAGAGAAGCUGACAGAACAUGAGAGACUCCUAACUCUGGGAAAUGAACAAGGGGUAGUGGAAGGAGAGGUGGGUGGGGGGACAGGGUGACUGGGUGAUGGGCACUGAGGGGGGCACUUGACAGGGUGAGCACUGUGUGUUAUACUAUAUGUUGGUAAAUCAAACUCCAAUAAAAAAUAUACCAAAAAAAUCAGUAGAACUAUUGUGCCUAUGGGAAAAUUGCUGAUCUAAAAUUUCUCAGGACUUUUCUCCAAACUCCGUCUGUUAGAGGUAGAGGAGGAAUAGACAGUUUUGGAGAUUAGAGCCUUGAAAAUGGAACAAAAAAAAAAAAAAAAAAAA